UCUCCUCUGCGCGGGGCCAGGCGAAGGUGCCAUGGGCCAAAGUAGUGGCUGCUUUGGCGACGGCGACGAGGCAACCGCCUCCAUUUAGGUGAUCACUCCUCUCUCUCUCUCUUAAAUCUCUCCCAUCGCCAGCCCGUUCUACGUCUCUUGCAGGUGGAGCGGCUGCUGGUUGCAUGAUACUUGGUGCGCGCGCGCAGCGCUGCGUAGCUGAUGUACUAGUUCAUCGGCUGACGUAGCGCCAGCGUUCGCCGCAGUGUGUCUCUCACGCCUCCACAGCCCAAGCCUAGAUUUUCGUCCUCGUCCACGCCGCACUCCCCCACGGUGCCCGCGUGUGCCACAUUUUUCACCGCGUGCGCGCCACAAGGGCUUCUAGCCUGCCGAAGUAGACGGCGCCUGCGGGAGGCCGACGCCGGGAGGCACGCGAAGGUGAAGAAGGCGGUAGCCGGGAGGAAGGCCGGCGGGCCCCUGUCUACCUUGCUGGUGUCCUUGAGUAUCUUGCCGCAGAGGCCGGUUCAAUUGGUCCUGGAGCUAGCGGGGAACACGACGCGCGACAACAAGAAACCAUCCCUCGCCACGUGCUGCUGGCCAUCCGCAACGACGAGGAGCUCGACAAGCUGCUUGCCGGCGUCACGAUCGCGCACGGAGGCGUGCUGCCCAACAUCCACCAGGUACUACUCCCCAAGAGGGCCACCAAGAAGGCCAAGAAGGAGGCAGCCGAGAUCAAGUCGCCCAAGAAGAAGGCCGAUGAGGCCUAGCCCCCUAGCUCUCUGCUUGUUUACAGUUUUAGUAUAGGCAAUGCGCUUAUAGUUGUGGCUAUGUCUGUCUUACAAGGUUUGUAUGUUGUAUUAGUGCUGUUGGCAAGGAGAAAACAUAAAUUACAUUUGGUAGUGGAAUCAUAGAAGAACUGAAUCAUUCUGCUAGUGUGCUCUUCGAAUUUGAAAUCGCCUUGCUUUAUUUCUGAA